UACGAAGGGGGCGAGCGUUGUUCGGAAUUACUGGGCUUAAAGCGUGCGUAGGCGGAUUGAAAAGUCAGAAGUGAAAUCCCGGGGCUUAACCCCGGAACUGCUUUUGAAACUCUCAGUCUUGAAUUCGGAAGAGGUUGGCGGAAUACCCAGUGUAGAGGUGAAAUUCGCAGAUAUUGGGUAGAACACCGGUGGCGAAGGCGGCCAACUGGUCCGACAUUGACGCUGAGGCACGAAAGCGUGGGGAGCAAACAGG
rnacentral:rRNA from 1 species